GAUGAACGCUAGCGGCAGGCCUAACACAUGCAAGUCGAGGGGUAGAGGCUUUCGGGCCUUGAGACCGGCGCACGGGUGCGUAACGCGUAUGCAAUCUGCCUUGUACUGGGGGAUAGCCCAGAGAAAUUUGGAUUAAUACCCCAUAGUAUUUUCGGUUGGCAUCAACUGAUUAUUAAAGUUUUUCGGUACAAGAUGAGCAUGCGUCCCAUUAGCUAGUUGGUAUGGUAACGGCAUACCAAGGCUACGAUGGGUAGGGGUCCUGAGAGGGAGAUCCCCCACGCUGGUACUGAGACACGGACCAGACUCCUACGGGAGGCAGCAGUGAGGAAUAUUGGUCAAUGGUCGCAAGACUGAACCAGCCAUGCCGCGUGCAGGAUGAAGCAUCUAUGGUGUGUAAACUGCUUUUGUACGGGAAGAAACACUGCUACGUGUAGCAGCUUGACGGUACCGUAAGAAUAAGGAUCGGCUAACUCCGUGCCAGCCGCCGCCGUAAAAC
rnacentral:rRNA from 1 species